rnacentral:rRNA from 1 species
GACGGAAGGUGCAAGCGUUGCUCGGAAUCACUGGGCGUAAAGGGUGCGUAGGCGGCUUGGUGGGUCUGGUGUGAAAGCCCCGGGCUCAACCCGGGAACUGCGUCCGAUACUGGCAGGCUCGAAUCCGGGAGAGGGAUGCGGAAUUCCAGGUGUAGCGGUGAAAUGCGUAGAUAUCUGGAGGAACACCGGUGGCGAAGGCGGCAUCCUGGACCGGCAUUGACGCUGAGGCGCGAAAGCCAGGGGAGCAAACGGG